rnacentral:rRNA from 1 species
CCCUUAGAUGUUCUGGGCCGCACGCGCGCUACACUGAUGCAUUCAACGAGCCUAUCCUUGACCGACAGGUCCGGGUAAUCUUUGAAUCUGCAUCGUGACGGGGAUAGAUUAUUGCAAUUAUUAAUCUUCAACGAGGAAUGCCUAGUAGGCGCAAGUCAUCAGCUUGCGUCGAUUACGUCCCUGCCCUUUGUACACACCGCCCGUCGCUCCUACCGAUUGGGUGUGCUGGUGAAAUGUUCGGAUCGGCCGUUUGUCGCUGUUUCCGCGGCUCGUGGCUGAGAAGUUCAUUAAACCCUCCCACCUAGAGGAAGGAGAAGUCGUAACA